GACGACAGGGCGUGUGGAUGCUCUUCAGUCUGGUUUUGGCCAGUGGCGAGUGAACGUAGAGUUUUCGCUCCCGUUCACUGGUCAGUCCCAGUUUCCAUUAGUGAAGUAAAUCAGUGUAUCUGGUGAGCUUUAUCAGUGACUCCAAGUGUAGCAGUGAGUGUAUUCAAGUGUAGAGUGUGUGCAAGACGGUGUAUGGUGUAGUUCUCUCUCCACC